GUUGCCGCCUUGUGAAGCGGCUCCUUGCACGAAUAUUGCUUGUGGGCACAACAAGGUGGCAGAAAGCAACUCAAAGAAUGAAAAGGCGUGGCUCCUGCAGGCUCAGGAGAUUCACGUGCGAUGUUCCUUGGACAGACUCCUGCUUCUCCACGGCGGUGGUGGCCUCGCUCUGUGGCCUGCACCUUUCUUCAGGCAGGGAGAGUGAAGCCUGACAGGUGGAUGGUGUGUGAAACGGGGGGAGCUCUUCCUGUCCAGUACUGUCAGCUGUCACAGUA